UACAGAGGGGGCGAGCGUUGUUCGGAAUUACUGGGCGUAAAGGGCGCGUAGGCGGCCUUCUAAGUCGAACGUGAAAUCCCCGGGCUCAACCCGGGAACUGCGUCCGAUACUGGGAGGCUUGAAUCCGGGAGAGGGAUGUGGAAUUCCAGGUGUAGCGGUGAAAUGCGUAGAUAUCUGGAGGAACACCGGUGGCGAAGGCGGCAUCCUGGACCAACACUGACACUGAGGAGCGAAAGCCAGGGGAGCAAACGGG
rnacentral:rRNA from 1 species